GCAAAUGUUAUAUCAAUGAACCAUCGUUCAUAAAACAUGAAUACAUAUGAGCCGUCAAGGCCUCUAACAUAAUGUACAUAGUAAACCUGUGUCUAUAAAGCCUCUAAGAUUAUUUUACAUAAAAUGGGACAGGGUACCGACCUACCCAUAAGUCUGUAGUAAAACUCUGACAUAUGACUCAUAGACUCGGCUGCACUUCGAAUGAGAUGGAGUCUUACCGAUCCUUCGCUGAAUGUCAAUCUCGUCUACGAUGAAGGCUCGUCAAAUUGAUUAUCUGUACCUGCAGGCAUGAAUGCAAUGUCCCCAACAAAAGGAUGUCAAUACGAAUAAUGUACUGAGUAUGUAAGACAUAUAAAUAAGUAUAUAAAAGACAUGGAAGAAAACAUGGAGUAAAUGACUCAGCCAGUAAAUCUGGAUGGCUCUGUAAAUCAUGAAAUAUUUAUAAGGUCAUGCAUAUGCGUAUAAAUGUCAUGUAAUGCAUAGGUCUGUUCGUAUAUAACAUCAUCAAGCCUCUGAGGGCAUCUCAUCAUAUUAUCUAAGCCACUGCAGGCAAAAUCAUCAACAUAUACCAGCUGAUCAGGUGGUGGUGCGCAUAUAACGCCGUAACCUUUUUCCCAUAUCCCAUGUACAUAUAUUUGCAUAUAUACACGUAUAUAAUGCCAUCUGGUNNNNNNNNNNNNNNNNNNNNNNNNNNNNNNNNNUAUAUGUAUGUAUAUACGCGUAUAUAACGCCGUCUGAGUCAUGGGUAAAUGUACAUGUAAAUGAAUGCAAUGCAUGAGAAGUACAUUAAUAAACUACUGGGAACGUCAUAAGACCAUUAUACCUUCAAAUAAUAUUAUUUUGCAGGAAUGAAUAACAUAGACAUCCUUAACUGCUAAGAAUAGAAACAUUUAUGAAAUAGCAUUACGUUUACGUAUUGUUACUUGAAUCAUGCCAAAUGAAGGAAGGGCUUAGCCUUAACAUACCUGUCACUACCCGAAGCAUUUCAAAGUGAUACAAUGGGUAGAAGCAAAGUGUUAAAGGGAAAACGACAUGCCUCAUACAUUGGAAUUUUGUCAAAGGACAUAAUCAGGGAACAUAUAGGAGGUUAAGCUUCAAAAGGAGCUCUCAUUCAGAAAGAACAAAUUCUUUGUAUAUUUCCUGCUCCUCUGAUUAAAAUUCGACCUAAAAGAACAAACAGUUUUUCACAACAGUAGAAAACAAUAAAAAAUAAAAUGGAUGACAUGACAUAGACUUAUGAACAUCACUGUUAUUUUUCCAUUAAUAUCUUUUUACUUCGUCAAGAGGUUAAGUUCCUGACAAACAAACAUAAGCCAUCUUUGACUUUGAAGCCCCAUUGGACCAUACACAAAUGCUGCACUGGGCAUAUGAAAUAGUAGAGGGCUGAUUAGGUUAUACACCAGGACUAAAUAAAUUACACAGAAAGAAUAUCUUCAGAACAGUAAGUUUAGGAUUUAGCUACAUAUAUCCACACUGAUUGUCUGAAGCUUCCUCCCAUUCCCAAUGCCAACAACAAAAUCUCCAAAUUUCAUCUUUUUGCAAAGAUAUAAUUUUAAGUUAAGACAUAAUAAGAGCAUAAUUUCACAAGACUCAACAUAAGCCUUAACAUCUUAUGCAAAAGUAGGUCAGCUUGUUUUCAAUGUGAGACCAUUAAAACAAUCAAAUUCAAUUGACCAAUUGCAUAUGCAGUUUAGCAUUUCAAAUAAAAUAAUAAAAUGCUAGCAGAGGAAAUAGACGUGAAAUGAAACUCGAGAACUAUGUAAAUUCUAAAGAGGAAAUGCCAAAGGUCAUGUCCUUGUUAGAGAAUAAUUGAUAGAAUUGACAAGAGGGAAAGGACAGGUACAUUAAAUAAAAGAAUUUUACUUUGAACAAGCUGGGCUUCCGCAGUCAAUUCGGCCAUAUUGCUUAACCUGUUCAAUCAAUUCAUAAACCAUAAGAACAGCAUCAAAUUACCUUUCACGGCAAAAAUUGAAAUGGAAAGAGGUACAAGCAAUGAGAAGGUCUGUUUCAGUAGAUUCUUCAAUUAGUUCAAGUAUUGGACUUGAUAUUGCUAUGUUAUCAAGAAUUAGUACACGUGAAAUGGGUUGUGUUGAAGCUGUUGGUGAAAAAUUCAAGUUCAAUGGCGUUGUCUCUACAUAAAGAGCCUUUUAUGAUUAAGAGAUCAUUUUCAUAUGGUGGUAGGUCUGUUUCUUCUCAAGACAUAAUCGUAGCUCCAGUUCAGUACUUCCAUUGUGAAACACCUUUAGUUUCUUUCAUACAACACUAGCUAGGAUAAUGUGGAAGUUGAAGGAACAAUGUUCUUUUCUUAGUGAGAUUUAAGAUCCU
rnacentral:lncRNA from 1 species